GACAGAGGGUGCAAACGUUGUUCGGAAUUACUGGGCGUAAAGCGCGUGUAGGCGGCUAUGCAAGUCGGAUGUGAAAGCCCUCGGCUCAACCGGGGAAGUGCACCCGAAACUGCAAAGCUAGAGUCUCGGAGAGGAUCGUGGAAUUCUCGGUGUAGAGGUGAAAUUCGUAGAUAUCGAGAGGAACACCGGUGGCGAAGGCGGCCUUCUGGACAGUGACUGACGCUGAGACGCGAAAGCGUGGGGAUCAAACAGG
rnacentral:rRNA from 1 species